GCCUACGGGAGGCAGCAGUGGGGAAUCUUGCACAAUGGGGGAAACCCUGAUGCAGCGACGCCGCGUGAACGAUGAAGCCCUUCGGGGUGUAAAGUUCUUUCGGCAGGGACGAUAAUGACGGUACCUGCAGAAGCAGCUGCGGCUAACUACGUGCCAGCAGCCGCGGUAAUACGUAGGCAGCAAGCGUUGUUCGGAAUUACUGGGCGUAAAGAGUGCGUAGGCGGUUGGCUAAGUUUGGUGUGAAAUCUCCCGGCUCAACUGGGAGGGUGCGCCGAAAACUGGCUGGCUAGAGUGCGGGAGAGGAUAGUGGAAUUCCUGGUGUAGCGGUGAAAUGCGUAGAUAUCAGGAGGAACACCUGAGGUGUAGACGGCUAUCUGGACCGUAACUGACGCUGAGGCACGAAAGCGUGGGGAGCAAACAGGAUUAGAUACCCUUGUAGUCC
rnacentral:rRNA from 1 species